CCUACGGGUGGCAGCAGUGAGGAAUAUUGGUCAAUGGACGAGAGUCUGAACCAGCCAAGUAGCGUGAAGGAUGACUGCCCUAUGGGUUGUAAACUUCUUUUAUAUGGGAAUAAAAUGUUCCACGUGUGGGAUUUUGUAUGUACCAUAUGAAUAAGGAUCGGCUAACUCCGUGCCAGCAGCCGCGGUAAUACGGAGGAUCCGAGCGUUAUCCGGAUUUAUUGGGUUUAAAGGGAGCGUAGGUGGAUUGUUAAGUCAGUUGUGAAAGUUUGCGGCUCAACCGUAAAAUUGCAGUUGAAACUGGCAGUCUUGAUUACAGUAGAGGUGGGCGGAAUUCGUGGUGUAGCGGUGAAAGGCUUAGAUAUCACGAAGAACUCCGAUUGCGAAGGCAGCUCACUGGACUGCAACUGACACUGAGGCUCGAAAGUGUGGGUAUCAAACAGGAGUAGAUACCCCAGUAGUC
rnacentral:rRNA from 1 species